CGACCUCAGAUCAGGCGGGACUACCCGCCGGAUUUAAGCAUAUUAAUAAGCGGAGGAAAAGAAAACAACCGUGAUUCCCUUAGUAGCGGCGAGCGAACCGGGAAAAGCCCAUCGCCGAAUCUCGCCGCGCACUUUUGUGUCGCGGCACGUAUGAGAGUUGUGGCGUACGGGCCGGCCUCGUUGCCGGGGCGCACGUGACGGUCCAAGUCUCCCUUGAACGGGGCCAUGGCCCGCAGAUGGUGCCAGGCCAGUAGAGGCCGUCACAGCGUUCCGGGAUCGGACCGCGCCUUCGAGUCGGGUUGCUUGAGAGUGCAGCCCGAAGCGGGUGGUAAACUCCAUCUAAGGCUAAAUACGGCCACGAGACCGAUAGUUUACAAGUACCGUGAGGGAAAGUUGAAAAGAACUUUGAAGAGAGAGUUCAUAAGAACGUGAAACCGCUCGGUUGUAAACGGACAGAGCUCGCGAAUCCCCGCCGGGCGAAUUCACGGUCGGUCUAACCGCCGGCCGGAUCUUUCGCUCGGUUAGCGGACGUCGCGACCCGUUGGGCGCCGGCCGAAUGGCCCGGGUGACGUUCGUCGCGUCGGUCGCGUUUCGGCGUGACCGUUCGCGCCGAGCCCCGGUGCUCAUGGUCGGCUCGCCCGACGGCAAGAACCGUCGACGCGGCCCCGUCGCAGGCGGGGUCCCGUCGGUCGGCGACGUGUUUCGAGCUACUUUCCGACCCGUCUUGAAACACGGACCAAGGAGUCUAACGUGUGCGCGAGUCAACGGUGAUCUUACGAAAAACCACGUUUGGCGCAAUGAAAGUGAACCGUUUACGGUGCGGACGAUGGCCUAGCGACCGAACCCACCGGCGUUCAAAGUCGCGCUGGUCCGCAGUCCGGGGGCGUCUCCGCCAAGUCGGCUUCGGCCGGCUGGGGGCGCACCCUUAGCGCACACGUUGGUACCCGAAAGAUGGUGAACUAUGCCUGGCCAGGAUGAAGUCAGGGGAAACCCUGAUGGAGGUCCGCAGCGAUUCUGACGUGCAAAUCGAUCGUCUGAGCUGGGUAUAGGGGGCGAAAGACUAAUCGAACCAUCUAGUAGCUGGUUCCAUCCGAAGUUUCCCUCAGGAUAGCUGGCGCCGAUGUGUCCCGCCCGUUCGCGGGCGUACGGACGCCGGUGGGACUCCGCGCUGUACGGCGCGGUAACAACACGCUCGUAACACGGAGGAUGUCUCAUACGGUAAAGCGAAUGAUUAGAGGACAUUGGGGCCGAAACGACCUCAACCUAUUCUCAAACUAUAAAUGAGUGAGAUCGCCGGCUUUACCUGGUACACCGCGUGAACCGCGUGCGAAGCCGGCGACGGAACCCUAGGCGCUUAGUGGGCCAUUUUUGGUAAGCAGAACUGGCGCUGCGGGAUGAACCGAACGCCGAGUUAAGGCGCCGAAAUCGACGCGUAUUCAGAGACCAUGAAAGGCGUUGGUUGCUGAUGACAGCAGGACGGUGGCCAUGGAAGUCGGAAUCCGCUAAGGAGUGUGUAACAACUCACCUGCCGAAGCAACUAGCUCUGAAAAUGGAUGGCGCUGGAGCGUCGUGCCUAUACUCGGCCGUCGACGGCAUAGUGGGGCCAGUCGUCGCUCGCGGCGGCCGGUCCCGGCAAGCCUCGACGAGUAGGAUGGCGCGGCGGUGUGCGUCGAAGGGCAGGUCGCGAGACCGCCUGGAGCCGCCGUCGGUGCAGAUCUUGGUGGUAGUAGCAAAUACUCGAGAGGGGCCCUCGGGGGCUGCCGUGGAGAAGGUUUCUUGUGAACAGCCGUUGUCCAAGAGUCAGUCGAUCCUAAGCCCGGGGAGAGAUCCUCGUACCACGGGCGAGUCGUUUUCGAAUCGCCCUUGGGGCGAGAGGAAUCCGGUUCGUAUUCCGGAACCCGACGCGGA
rnacentral:ncRNA from 1 species